GUAUCGUUUAACGGUCCUAUAGUGUAGCGGUUAGCACUCUGGACUUUGAAUCCAGCAGCGGCGGUUCAAAUCCGCCUAGGACCUAGUUA